rnacentral:rRNA from 1 species
GAUGAACGCUGGCGGCGUGCCUAAUACAUGCAAGUCGAGCGAACGGACGUGAAGCUUGCUUCUCUGAUGUUAGCGGCGGACGGGUGAGUAACACGUGGAUAACCUACCUAUAAGACUGGGAUAACUUCGGGAAACCGGAGCUAAUACCGGAUAAUAUUUUGAACCGCAUGGUUCAAAAGUGAAAGACGGUCUUGCUGUCACUUAUAGAUGGAUCCGCGCUGCAUUAGCUAGUUGGUAAGGUAACGGCUUACCAAGGCAACGAUGCAUAGCCGACCUGAGAGGGUGAUCGGCCACACUGGAACUGAGACACGGUCCAGACUCCUACGGGAGGCAGCAGUAGGGAAUCUGCCGCAAUGGGCGAAAGCCUGACGGAGCAACGCCGCGUGAGUGAUGAAGGUCUUCGGAGCGUAAAACUCUGUUAUUAGGGAAGAACAUAUGUGUAAGUAACUGUGCACAUCUUGACGGUACCUAAUCAGAAAGCCACGGCUAACUACGUG